GACGAACGCUGGCGGCGUGCUUAACACAUGCAAGUCGAACGGAAAGGCCCUGCUUUUGUGGGGUGCUCGAGUGGCGAACGGGUGAGUAACACGUGAGUAACCUGCCCUUGACUUUGGGAUAACUUCAGGAAACUGGGGCUAAUACCGGAUAGGAGCUCCUGCUGCAUGGUGGGGGUUGGAAAGUUUCGGCGGUUAGGGAUGGACUCGCGGCUUAUCAGCUUGUUGGUGGGGUAGUGGCUUACCAAGGCUUUGACGGGUAGCCGGCCUGAGAGGGUGACCGGCCACAUUGGGCCUGAGAUACGGCCCAGACUCCUACGGGAGGCAGCAGUGGGGAAUAUUGCACAAUGGGCGGAAGCCUGAUGCAGCAACGCCGCGUGCGGGAUGACGGCCUUCGGGUUGUAAACCGCUUUCGCCUGUGACGAAGCGUGAGUGACGGUAAUGGGUAAAGAAGCACCGGCUAACUACGUG
rnacentral:rRNA from 1 species